GCGGGGGUGGUGGAACUGGUAGACACGCUAGAUUUAGGAUCUAGUGCCUUUGGCGUGGGGGUUCGAUUCCCCCCUCCCGCA
rnacentral:tRNA from 1 species